AACCCUUGAGCGUACAGGCGCAAACAAGGAAAGUUCGGAAAAACCCAAACCAAAAAACAAAAAAGACAAAAAACCCAAGCGAAAAAAGAAAGAAAAAACAAGACCGAACAAGAGACGGGACCGCAAAGGGUCACAACCGAGGCCAAGCAAAGUCCACGCCAGAGCCGUCCCGGGUAGAGCACAACACAAGAACGCGCGCCAGAGAAAACAAGCGCCAAAGGAAACAAGCGCCAGGGGGAUCAAGCGCCAGAGGAAUCAAGCGCCAGAGGA
rnacentral:lncRNA from 1 species